GCGGGGGUGGCGAAAUCGGCAGCCGCAGCGGACUUAAAAUCCGCUGGCCUCACGGCCGUGGGGGUUCGAGUCCCCCUCCCCGCA
rnacentral:tRNA from 1 species